rnacentral:rRNA from 1 species
ACUCAAAGGAAUUGACGGGGACUUGCACAAGCAGUGGAUUAUGUGGUUCAAUUCGACGACAAACGAAGAACCUUACCAAGGUUGGAAAUCUAACUGAAGAUAAGUGGAAACAUUUAUCGCCGAAAGGCAGUUAGACAGGUGAUGCAUGGCCGUCGUCAGUUCGUGGUUUGAAUUGUUCCCUUAAGUGGGGUAACGAACGCAACCCUCGUCGCGUGUUACAAGUGUCACGCGAGACCACCCAGCACCAUUUUUCGGUAAUAGAAUUUCUAUUCGGGAAAAUGGUGCUGGGAGGAAGGUGAGGAUGACGCCAGGUCAGCAUGUCCCUUUGAUAUCUUGGGCUACACACAUAAUACAAUCGCCGCUACAACGCGAAGCAAAGUCGUAAGACUGAGCCAAUCGUCAGAAAGGCGGCGCCAGUUCGGAUUGAGGUCUGCAACUCGACCUCAUGAAGCCGGAAUUGCUAGUAAUCGCGGGUCAGCUAUACCGCGGUGAAUACGUUCUCAAGUCUUGUACACACCGCCCGU